CCGGGAAACCGGGGCUAAUACCGGAUAAUACUUUUCAUCACCUGAUGAGAAGUUGAAAGGUGGCUUUUAGCUACCACUUACAGAUGGGCCCGCGGCGCAUUAGCUAGUUGGUGAGGUAACGGCUCACCAAGGCAACGAUGCGUAGCCGACCUGAGAGGGUGAUCGGCCACACUGGGACUGAGACACGGCCCAGACUCCUACGGGAGGCAGCAGUAGGGAAUCUUCCGCAAUGGACGAAAGUCUGACGGAGCAACGCCGCGUGAGUGAUGAAGGUUUUCGGAUCGUAAAGCUCUGUUGUUAGGGAAGAACAAGUGCCGUUCGAAUAGGGCGGCACCUUGACGGUACCUAACCAGAAAGCCCCGGCUAACUACGUGCCAGCAGCCGCGGUAAUACGUAGGGGGCAAGCGUUGUCCGGAAUUAUUGGGCGUAAAGCGCGCGCAGGCGGUCCUUUAAGUCUGAUGUGAAAGCCCACGGCUCAACCGUGGAGGGUCAUUGGAAACUGGAGGACUUGAGUACAGAAGAGGAGAGUGGAAUUCCACGUGUAGCGGUGAAAUGCGUAGAGAUGUGGAGGAACACCAGUGGCGAAGGCGACUCUCUGGUCUGUAACUGACGCUGAGGCGCGAAAGCGUGGGGAGCGAACAGGAUUAGAUACCCUGGUAGUCCACGCCGUAAACGAUGAGUGCUAGGUGUUAGGGGGUUUCCGCCCCUUAGUGCUGAAGUUAACGCAUUAAGCACUCCGCCUGGGGAGUACGGCCGCAAGGCUGAAACUCAAAAGAAUUGACGGGGGCCCGCACAAGCGGUGGAGCAUGUGGUUUAAUUCGACGCAACGCGAAGAACCUUACCAGGUCUUGACAUCCUCUGCAAUCGGUAGAGAUACCGAGUUCCCUUCGGGGACAGAGUGACAGGUGGUGCAUGGUUGUCGUCAGCUCGUGUCGUGAGAUGUUGGGUUAAGUCCCGCAACGAGCGCAACCCUUGAUCUUAGUU
rnacentral:rRNA from 1 species